AUGAGGAUAGUUGGACUGGCGGGUGGGAUUUCGUCUGAGGAGAGUACUAUCUCAAAUCUCUCAAGGCCCAUGACAUUCAUGUUGUCGACGCUGACCUUGUGGCUCGGGAUGUAUUGAAGAAAGGAACUGAUGGAUGGAAAAAGGUUGUUUCAGCAUUUGGACAGGACAUUCUACAACCUGAUGGAGAAGUUGAUAGGCCUAAACUAGGCCAAAUUGUGUUCUCUAAUCCUGAAAAGCGUCAACUUUUGAACCGACUACUGGCUCCUUACAUAUCAUCGUGGAAUCUUUUAGAAAAUUUCUAAGCUAUGGCUGAAAAGGUUCAAGGUUAUUGUUCUUGAUGUCCCUCUGUUAUUCGAGACCAAGAUGGACAGAUGGACAAAGCCCAUUAUCAUUUGUAUGGGUCGAUCCUGAAACACAACUCAAAAGACUCAUGUUGAGGGACAACACAAGUGAGGAUGAUGCUCUAAACUAAAUAAACGCUCAGAUAUCACUUGAUUUAAAGAGUGGUAAGGCUAACAUAAUGAUUAAUAACACCGGAUCAGGAGAGGAUUUAGAAGAGAGGUUUAGGAGUGUGCUAUUAGAGGUCAAAAAGCCCUUGACAUGGACUGAAUUUUGGCUUUCUCGACAAGGUGCUUCAUCUGCUCUUGUCUCCAUUAUCAUAGGUGUUCUUAUGUUUAGAAAAGUUUAUAAUAGUAGCAGUAAAUUAUAGCAACCUUGAAGUUGUAUUUGUUAUGAUAUUGAUCUAAAUCUCCCUCUCUUUGGUAGUUGAAAAGAGAGAAGAGCUUCAUUGUGUUUGUAGCAAUAAUGAAGAAUGAUUACAUGCAUUUACGAUCGAAAAUUAGUGCACAAGUUCUUCAGUUUCCUAAAUAUCUCAGUUAUAUUUAUGUCUAAUAGUAGAAAACUAGUUUGUGUUUUAUGUGAAAAAAGCUCAUUUGGGGAUUGUUCUUACUGGGAAUAGGUUGAUUUUGUCUUCUAAGUGCAAUUCAGGGUUUAAUUGGAUCUCUGAUGUCUUUAAGUCCAACCUUAGGAGCCUAAGGUGAGAAGUUUAGGAAUCUCGAGUAGUCAACAUU